GACGAACGCUGGCGGCGUGCUUAACACAUGCAAGUCGAACGGAAAGGCCCUUCGGGGUACUCGAGUGGCGAACGGGUGAGUAACACGUGGGUGAUCUGCCCCGCACUUUGGGAUAAGCCUGGGAAACUGGGUCUAAUACCGAAUAGGACCACGCGCUUCAUGGUGUGUGGUGGAAAGCUUUUGCGGUGUGGGAUGGGCCCGCGGCCUAUCAGCUUGUUGGUGGGGUAAUGGCCUACCAAGGCGACGACGGGUAGCCGGCCUGAGAGGGUGACCGGCCACACUGGGACUGAGAUACGGCCCAGACUCCUACGGGAGGCAGCAGUGGGGAAUAUUGCACAAUGGGCGCAAGCCUGAUGCAGCGACGCCGCGUGAGGGAUGACGGCCUUCGGGUUGUAAACCUCUUUCAAUAGGGACGAAGCGCAAGUGACGGUACCUAUAGAAGAAGCACCGGCCAACUACGUG
rnacentral:rRNA from 1 species